rnacentral:lncRNA from 1 species
CUUUCCUUUAUUUUCUUCGUACGAAGCCAGCCGAGUCUUGCUGUUGCUUUUCUUUCAAUCUUCCAUCAAAUUCUGCAGCCCCUCACGGUUUCUUCAGCCCACGCCCACGCCCACGAUCAUUUUCUUUUUUUUAAUCAUCUGCCACAUACCACCGUCUCUCUCCUCAAAUUCUCUCCACUCACUCUCUUCCUCACGGCCACAGAAACCCACGGAUGAAGCCUCCACGGAGUCAAACUCCCUUGGCCUAUUUUGGUUGUUGACUUCUCUUGCCAAACGGCUUCAAUCCACCGAAGUGAAGCCAGCAACUCCGUGUGCGUCAGCCCAUCUUUCCCCCACCGAGCAAGCUCAGUCUACGCCAGCUUCCUUGCCGCUUUCGCUGCCACCGGAGAUCAACGAAGCUGAUCUCCCUCUUUCGCUCAUGUCUUCACCCAGCGUCUUCAGCCACGUGAGCAGCAGCAGCCCACGCAAAUUCUCGGGCCCAGCUUUGGCCGUAGACUCCAGCACGUUCGGCCCAAUUGAAGUCCAUCAACAGCCCAUCUCAGCCCGUAAAUUUCAGUCCAGAAUGUUUCGCAGCAGCCCAGCCCAGAUUUAAAGCCCAUCCUCGGCCCAAUUCCAGCUCACUUGAGGCCCACGUAGUCAAGCCCAGUUCCGAGCCCAAGCCCGCGAAGCAAGCCUAGUCCAAUGCAAUAACAAAUCUCAGUUUGGGCUGAUAUUUUUUGGGCCCGUUUUAGGCCCGGCCCGACUGUUCGCCAACGUCGCCGAAAAUUCAUAUUUCGGCCGCCGUCGCGCCACCGUCACAGUGAACCGGUUUCCGCAAUUAACCGGUGAGUUUUUUUACUAAACUCUUCUUAGUAGGCUAAUAACGUCUAAGGGGUGUUUAGAUUUAUUUAAUUAGGAAUUAUGUGGUUGGUUAGAUUAAUUUAGUGAUUUAAUUAUGCAAUUAUGCAUGUUAGGUGGUUAGAUUAGAUUAAGUGAGGCCUAGAUAAAUUGUGCUAUUUAUCUAGUAGGGUUCGAGAAUUUUCCGGGUCCAUAUUGGUAUUUAAUUUAGUGAUUUUGGCAUAGGUUGGCAUUUUACUAUUUAAAUUGAUUUAUUUAAUUAAUUUUAGAAAUUAUUUAAUUAUUAAUUAUUUUCCGAAAAUUAGUCCAAGAUAGCUGGUGACCGGAAUUUCGUACUGAUUGCAAUGGUGUGGUUAAUUUUUGCAAUUGAGUGAUAGUUUGUGCAAAUUGAGUGUUGAUUGGAAUUUUGAAUAUUUAAUUUCAAAAAUUGUGAAUUUCAUUAUUUAUUCAGAAAAUUCCGGGUGUUGGGUUUUAAACACCGAAAAUGGUUUUAUAUACUAUAUAUAUAUUAGUGGGAUUUUGAAAAGAAGGUUAUGAAUUUUCUGGGUCCAAUCUGACCGUGUACCAACGCACGACUAUUAUUACUGAAUUUUUUUAAUACGAAGGAAACAUGCCAAGAUCACUAUUUUAAUGGAGGCAUUUGAGUGCAAUGCACAUUGUCCUAGGCCGAGAUUGAGUGGUCGUGUGUUGGAUAAGAGAACCUGUCUCGAACAAUUAUGCCGGAUGUUACUAAAUCCCUUUUCGGGUUACCCAUGCAUUAGGGUAGUGGGUCGCAAUAAAUUCUGGACCUACACCCCUUCGGAGAAGCCGUCUAAUUGAGAGACGUCGCCAUGCUCAAAGGAGGUGAGACGACACCUGGCAAUGCCAGAAGACCGCCAAUUUUGGAGUUGGCCGUACCCUUGAGGGGUGUAAUUAACAAUUGAAACGCAUGAUUGUUGAGUUUGAUGCACCCGAUUAUGAGACCAAAACUGUGUGACAUGGAAUAGAAUGUGUUAUAACGGUUUAGUCUUAUAAUCAGGACCCUGGUGAUUAGUUGAAUUGAUGAGGUGUUCCAGUUGUUAUGUGCAUUGAUUAUAUGCAUUGCAAUAUGAAUUGUACUGACAUGUAGAAAGGAAACUAAGGCGAGGUAAGUCCUCUAUGCCAAUUGUGUGGUUGUGUGGCUAGAGCACCCUAAAGCGUAUUUCCCUCAUAAUAUGAGUUUAGUAGGUAGACUUGCUGAGACAUUAUUUCACUGGUUAUUGAAUAACCAUUCUCAGGUCCUUAGAAGGUGGUCGUGGAAGACCAAGGUCUCAAAGUCUGAGGAGGAGGAGUAUGGAGGAUCGGUGGAUAUGUCUUAUCAGUAUGUCGUAGGACAACCUCUUGUGAGAGUCGACCUUUUUGUAGGCUUUCAUCUAAACUCGUUUUGUACCUGAAUCUCGUUGUUUGUAAAAGUGUGCUUUUAUGACUUGAUAUCCUACUUUCUUAUCCCGAGAUAUUUUUGUCAAG